GAUAAACGCUGGCGGCGUGCUUAACACAUGCAAGUCGAACGGAGUGGUUCUCCCGAGGAUUGAAGGUGCUUGCACCAGAUUGACUCAUUUGAAUCACUUAGUGGCGGACGGGUGAGUAACGCGUGGGAAACCUGCCCUAUACUGGGGGAUAGCAGUUGGAAACGACUGAUAAUACCGCAUAAGCGCACAGCUUCGCAUGAAGCAGUGUGAAAAACUCCGGUGGUAUAGGAUGGUCCCGCGUCUGAUUAGCUAGUUGGUGAGGUAACGGCCCACCAAGGCGACGAUCAGUAGCCGGCCUGAGAGGGUGUACGGCCACAUUGGGACUGAGACACGGCCCAAACUCC
rnacentral:rRNA from 1 species